AUUCUAGAUUCUGCCAGGAACUUAAACAAUCCUCUGUCGAUAGUUUGCUGUUAAAAAUCAGUGCCUGUCUGGAAUCCUCUCCUUUCUACCUAUUUCUUGUUUUCCCUCCAGUAGUUGGGUUUCUGGAUAUAUUUGGACCUGAGAUCUUCAACACGUGAUCUGAGAACACCAGCACCCGAAACACAUUUUUCUUAUUUAAAGUUCUCUUUUCUGGUCUCCACGUUAAUAUUACUGGAUCAGAAUUUCUGGAAUGAGGCCCAGACUAUACAUUUUUACCCAAAUUGUCCAGGUGCUUCUUAUGCAUACCAAAGUUUGAGAAACACUGCUUUUGAUAAUCUCCAUCAAUAGUUGCCUCUUUCCCUAACAGAUCCAGAAACUUCCCCUUAACUGGCUCUGAAAUUUGGCUCCUAUUCCUCAAUAUCAUCUACAAAUUUCACUUAGAGGUUACUUAUAACCCCCUAAAUGGCCUUUUCCCAGUACCUAUCCUUCCUGACGUCUUUGUAGCAUAAAAGAAUAGUCAUGUCAUAAAGCAUUGAACUUGUGAACCUUCAGUUAUGCUCACUUGGCCAAAGACAAAGGAAAGAAAAUGACAACAUAAGCAGAUGAUUUAUGUACCAUUCCAGUCAAUGACCUCUGCUUCAAACAGGCAUCAGAUGGGAUACUUGAACCCACCACCAUCCAGUAGGUCUCUCAUACUGUGAGCUACUAGCUCACUGAGUGUGAGUCCAGUGUUGAAAACUCUGUGUUUUACAUUCAACAUGAUCCCUACAUAAAAUUCAAUUAUGUCUUAUGGAUUGGGGAAG
rnacentral:lncRNA from 1 species